rnacentral:rRNA from 1 species
UACAGAGACUGCAAGCGUUAUUCGGAUUCACUGGGCGUAAAGGGUGCGCAGGCGGUCGGGUGUGUCAGAUGUGAAAUCCCGAGGCUCAACCUCGGAACUGCGUCUGAAACUACUCGACUAGAGUACUGGAGAGGGUAACGGAAUUCACGGUGUAGCGGUGAAAUGCGUAGAUAUCGUGAGGAACACCAGAGGCGAAGGCGGUUACCUGGACAGUUACUGACGCUCAGGCACGAAAGCAUGGGGAGCAAAAGGG